CACUCCUACGGGAGGCAGCAGUGGGGAAUUUUGGACAAUGGGCGAAAGCCUGAUCCAGCAAUGCCGCGUGAGUGAAGAAGGCCUUCGGGUUGUAAAGCUCUUUUGUCAGGGAAGAAACGGUGAAAGCUAAUAUCUUUUGCUAAUGACGGUACCUGAAGAAUAAGCACCGGCUAACUACGUGCCAGCAGCCGCGGUAAUACGUAGGGUGCAAGCGUUAAUCGGAAUUACUGGGCGUAAAGCGUGCGCAGGCGGUUUUGUAAGUCUGAUGUGAAAUCCCCGGGCUCAACCUGGGAAUUGCAUUGGAGACUGCAAGGCUAGAAUCUGGCAGAGGGGGGUAGAAUUCCACGUGUAGCAGUGAAAUGCGUAGAUAUGUGGAGGAACACCGAUGGCGAAGGCAGCCCCCUGGGUCAAGAUUGACGCUCAUGCACGAAAGCGUGGGGAGCAAACAGGAUUAGAUACCCGUGUAGUCCCAUGA
rnacentral:rRNA from 1 species